AAAGUACUCCCUCCGUCCCAAAAUUCUUGUCUUAGAUUUGUCUAGAUACGGAUGUAUCAAGUCACAUUUUAGUAUUAGAUACAUCCGUACCAAGACAUAUCUAAGACAAGAAAUUUGGGACAGAGGGAGUAAUUG
rfam:Triticum aestivum genome assembly, contig: Triticum_aestivum_CS42_TGACv1_scaffold_211199_3AS